GUUGGCCUGCGAUUAGCACACACCCAUCCCUGGGAACUGCUAGUCUGGAAAGCGGGGCUGCUUCUCCGGGAUGAGCCCGAGCCCUGCCAAGCCCCUCAAGGCAUUGAAGCUUUAGCUCACCUUAUCCGAAUGGUCAUUGGGCAUCUGGACUUGAGUUAACGACUGAAUUUUUCUGGGAAGCAAGGGACACGUUCUAAAAUAACCCCAGGAUCACUCUCCGAACUUGGCCUGAGUCUAGGCAAGCAGUGUUACUCGGUCGCCUUGAUCUUGGAGCUGCUGUGUACUGGGGACCUCAUACUAGUUGGGUUAACUAUAUUCCCAUUAGCAGUACGCGGGAUCGCAGUACUCGGGACAAGCUGAGUUCAGGUAUUUGGCUGCUAUGAGUAACACGAUCUGGAAAGACAGCGCUAGCAAGGAAUGAGGAGUGAUACAGUGACUGGAGGCUAAGAGAUAAUGUCUGCAAGUCACCUAAAACCAUUGCAGACACAGGGAGAUUGAUGGAUUUGGAGGACUUCUGGUUGUGAAGACUCUGACGAUUGCUAAAGAUGUCUCAAUCUAUCGCCCAAGCUGGACUGCAGUGGUGCAAUCAUGGCCCACUGCAGCCACAACUUCCUGGGUUCAAGUGAUCAUCCCACCUCAGCCUCCUGAGUAGCUGAGACCACAGCUUAGUAACAGUCAUGGACAACAGCAUGCGAAUCUUAGAGCUGUUAUUGGUCGACCUAGCAACCAUGCGGUUCCCAAG